AGGACGAACGCUGGCGGCGUGCUUAACACAUGCAAGUCGAACGGUGAUGGCCAGCUUGCUGGUCUGAUCAGUGGCGAACGGGUGAGUAACACGUGAGCAACCUGCCCUUCACUCUGGGAUAACCACCGGAAACGGUGGCUAAUACCGGAUAUGAGACGUACACGCAUGUGUCGCGUCUGGAAAGAUUUAUCGGUGAAGGAUGGGCUCGCGGCCUAUCAGCUUGUUGGUGGGGUAGUGGCCCACCAAGGCGACGACGGGUAGCCGGCCUGAGAGGGCGACCGGCCACACUGGGACUGAGAUACGGCCCAGACUCCUAACGGGAGGCAGCAGUGGGGAAUAUUGCACAAUGGGCGCAAGCCUGAUGCAGCGACGCCGCGUGAGGGAUGACGGCCUUCGGGUUGUAAACCGUCUUUCAGCAGGGAAGAAGCGAAAGUGACGGUACCUGCAGAAGAAGCGCGGCUAACUACGCGCCAGCAGCCG
rnacentral:rRNA from 1 species